rnacentral:rRNA from 1 species
AAGGAUAGUUUCUAUUAAUCAGUAGAACGAAAGUUAGGGGAGUCGAAGACGAUCAGAUACCGUCGUAGUCUUAACCAUAAACUAUGCCGACUAGGGAUCGGACGGUGUUAUUAUUUUGACCCGUUCGGCACCUUACGAGAAAUCAAAGUCUUUGGGUUCUGGUAAGCCAUAUCUUAUUUAUAUCUAUUUUCCAUACACAAUGCAUGCAAACAAGUACGUUAGAUUAUGUGGGCUAGAAGGUCAUACGCGGAAACAAAGCACCCCAAAACUCAAUAGCAGCGGCGCUCAUGGGUGCAAACUGCCAUUGUGUUUAGCAAAACCUGCUUACCCACAUGAGGUCUAUACUACUUGCUGCAUCCCCCACCAUCCAUUCACCAUUCCAUCACUUUUCUUUUAUUGAACAGUUGCUAACCGAUUAAUAGGGGGGAGUAUGGUCGCAAGGCUGAAACUUAAAGAAAUUGACGGAAAGGCACCACCAGGCGUGGAGCCUGCGGCUUAAUUUGACUCAACACGG